rnacentral:snRNA from 12 species
GGGGAGACACCAUGAUCAGGCAGGUGCUUUUCCCAGGGCGAGGCUCAUCCUGUGCACUCUGGGUGUGCUGACCCCUGCGCUUUCUCCAAACGUGGGAAACUCAGC